rnacentral:rRNA from 1 species
AUUGAACGCUGGCGGAAUGCUUUACACAUGCAAGUCGAACGGCAGCACGGACUUCGGUCUGGUGGCGAGUGGCGAACGGGUGAGUAAUGUAUCGGAACGUGCCCAGUCGUGGGGGAUAACGUAGUGAAAAUUACGCUAAUACCGCAUACGAUCUAUGGAUGAAAGCGGGGGAUCGCAAGACCUCGCGCGAUUGGAGCGGCCGAUAUCAGAUUAGGUAGGUGGUGGGGUAAAGGCCCACCAAGCCAACGAUCUGUAGCUGGUCUGAGAGGACGACCCGCCACACUGGACCUGACAGACGGUCCAGCCUCCGACGGGAAGCAGCAGUGGGGAAUUUUGGACAAUGGGCGAAAGCCUGUUCCAGCCAUUCCGCGUGCAGGAUGAAGGCCCUCGGUUUGUAGACUGCUUUUGUACAGAACGAAAAGGUUUCUACUAAUACUAGGAGCUCAUGACGGUACUGUAAGAAUAAGCACCGGCUAACUACGUGCCAGCAGCCGCGGUAA